rnacentral:rRNA from 1 species
GACGAACGCUGGCGGCGCGCCUCAUACAUGCAAGUCGAGCGAGAACCGGGACCUCGGUCCCGGGGAAAGCGGCGAACGGGUGCGUAACACGUGAGCAACCUGCCCCGAAGACCGGGACAACCCGGGGAAACCCGGGCUAAUACCGGAUGCCCUCACCGGACCGCAUGAUCCGGUGAGGAAAUGGAUUCCGCUUCGGGAUGGGCUCGCGGCCUAUCAGCUUGUUGGUGGGGUAAUGGCCUACCAAGGCGACGACGGGUAGCUGGUCUGAGAGGACGAU